AUGAAGACAUCCAUGAAAGCUUUAAUCAUGUUCUCGUGGCUGCAGCUGAACUGGUUCAGCCUGGGAGAGAAUGUGGAGCAGCAUCCUUCUACCCUGAGUGUCCAGGAGGGAAGCAGCUCUGUUAUCAGCUGCAGUUAUUCAGACAGUGCCUCAGACUACUUCCCUUGGUAUAAGCAAGAACUUGGAAAAGGUCCCCAGCUCCUUAUAGACAUUCAUUCAAGCAUGGCCACAAAAGAAGACCAAAGACUCACUGUUUCAUUGAAUAAGACGGCCAAACAUCUCUUCCUGCACAUCAGAGACACCCAGCCUGAAGACAUAGCUGUGUACUUCUGCGCAGCAAUGAUGGGGACUGCAGGGGGAGCUGAGCACAAACUCUGAUCAAAACAGGGGCCUGGAUGCUGAGUGUCUCUGCCUGAUUCAUUCUGGU